UGGGGAAUAUUGCACAAUGGGCGCAAGCCUGAUGCAGCCAUGCCGCGUGUGUGAAGAAGGCCUUCGGGUUGUAAAGCACUUUCAGCGAGGAGGAAGGUGGUGAGCUUAAUACGCUCAUCAAUUGACGUUACUCGCAGAAGAAGCACCGGCUAACUCCGUGCCAGCAGCCGCGGUAAUACGGAGGGUGCAAGCGUUAAUCGGAAUUACUGGGCGUAAAGCGCACGCAGGCGGUUUGUUAAGUCAGAUGUGAAAUCCCCGGGCUCAACCUGGGAACUGCAUUUGAAACUGGCAAGCUAGAGUCUCGUAGAGGGGGGUAGAAUUCCAGGUGUAGCGGUGAAAUGCGUAGAGAUCUGGAGGAAUACCGGUGGCGAAGGCGGCCCCCCUGGACGAAGACUGACGCUCAGGUGCGAAAGCGUGGGGCAGCAAACAGGAUUAGAUACCCUGGUAGUCCAGCGCUGUAAACGAUGUCGAUUUGGAGGUUGUGCCCUUGAGGCGUGGCUUCCGGAGCUAACGCGUUAAAGUCGACCGCC
rnacentral:rRNA from 1 species